rnacentral:lncRNA from 1 species
AUUGGGAGAGAGCAUGUUUACAGAAGGAAUCAAGCUGAAGAGAGCUCAUGAAUGCGAGUCUUAUUUUCAGCAUGACUGGUGUCCUUGUAAAAGGGAAGUUUGGACACAGAUAAACGCAGAGUGAGCACAGCGUGAAGACGUGAGGGGGAUGCCGUUGGCACGCCGAGGCCAUGGAGGAUCGCUGCCGGUGGCCAGCAGAAGCCAGGAAAGGGCCCUGUAACAGAGACCUCAGAGGGAACUUCCGGCUCCAGAAGUGACAGACAAGACGUUUCUGUCCGUGGUGCAUUGCUGCACCAGCCCCAGGAAACUGACACAGUGGACUGGAAGGAGGGAACGGGAGGAGCGGAAAGCCCGUGCUCAUAUCCAGCGCUGGAUCCGAUGAAAUUCCAGCUGAAGUGACGUGAAACAAGAGAAGAAAGGCAAGACAUAUCCAUGUUUACCUGCGUGCCAGCAGCAGACGCCGCUGGAGGCCAUCACAGCCUUCCCAAAAUAGAGGCCCCUUGAUACCGACUUUCCUGAGAGGACAGAACAGGUGAGCGGGGUCUCCAGGAGUUCCUUCUCUUCCCGGACCCAGCAGGUCUUCCCAACGGCUCACAUGAGGGCCAGCACGUGACAUUAUUUGUGUAUUUCUUUGAUUUUUUUUUGCAUAUUUUUAUU